UACGGAGGGUGCAAGCGUUAUCCGGAUUUACUGGGUUUAAAGGGUGCGUAGGUGGGUUGGUAAGUCAGUGGUGAAAUACUUUCGCUUAACGAAGGAAUUGCCAUUGAUACUACCAGUCUUGAAUACAGUGGAGGUAGGCGGAAUGCGUCAUGUAGCGGUGAAAUGCUUAGAUAUCGUAAGGAAGACCAGUGGCGAAGGCGGGUCUCUGGACAGUUCCUGACGCUGAGGCGCGAAAGCGUGGGGAGCAAACAGG
rnacentral:rRNA from 1 species